rnacentral:lncRNA from 1 species
UUCCAAAUAUGUUUUUUCAUUGCCAGAAUGCUCACUCAGUGACUGGAUUAGUUAUGUGUACUCUGCAUUUUUCGAAGAGGGGAAAGCUGCUAUUUUUAUCAUCUAGUAGCAUUCUGAUGACUCCUUGAUAACAUGGUUACUAUACGGAACCCCAUCUGUUUCUCUGCUGGGACCACAUCUUAGUCAUAUUUUUGUCCCUAAUGUCUGGCAUCGUGCCUGGCAUUUAGUAGGUCUUCAGUAAAUAUUUGCUGAAUAAAUGUAUGCUGAUUGAAAAAUUGCCUGCUAUUAUCAGCUCUCUGUGCAUGAUAAAUGCGUUGCCUCUCCAAAGCGAUUGUAAGCUUCUGAGCAGGAACACCAUGGUCACACAUGGUCUGUCUAACUCAGCGCCUUGUAAAUAAUAGGAAUGCCAUCCCUAAAUCCCUAGCCCCCUCCAGGAUGGCCUGUCUUCCUUGCAUCUGGGACUGUUGAAGAUUCUUAAAGAUGGAAAAAUCAUAUACAGGUUAUUGCAUAGACAUACAUUAAAAAAUGUAGUUCGUUCAUUGUAUCCCUAGUGGGCCUAUGGCCAUAAAUUAACUUGCUCCCAGGGUAGGUAGUACUCUCUUCUUCACUUCUGCUGUAAUCACAGCUGCCUUCAUUAUAGAAUCAUAGAGAAGUGAAUUAAGGUGAACUUUGAAAGAAGGAAGAGAUGCAGCUCAC